UCUCCGUUGGUGAACCAGCGGUGGGAUCAUUACCGAGUUUUCCAACUCCCAAACCCUUCUGUGAACCUAUACCGACACGUUGCCUCGGCGGGAUCGCCCCGGCGCCCUCAGCGGCGGCCGGGCCCAGGCGCCCGCCGGAGGACCACACCGAACUCUUCAGAUUUUCUUCAGACGUCUUACGAGUGACACAAAAAAAAGGAAUCAAAACUUUCAACAACGGAUCUCUUGGUUCUG
rnacentral:misc_RNA from 1 species